rnacentral:rRNA from 1 species
GAUGAACGCUGGCGGCGUGCCCAAUACAUGCAAGUCGAGCGAACAGACGAGGAGCUUGCUCCUCUGACGUUAGCGGCGGACGGGUGAGUAACACGUGGAUAACCUACCUAUAAGACUGGGAUAACUUCGGGAAACCGGAGCUAAUACCGGAUAAUAUAUUGAACCGCAUGGUUCAAUAGUGAAAGACGGUUUUGCUGUCACUUAUAGAUGGAUCCGCGCCGCAUUAGCUAGUUGGUAAGGUAACGGCUUACCAAGGCAACGAUGCGUAGCCGACCUGAGAGGGUGAUCGGCCACACUGGAACUGAGACACGGUCCAGACUCCUACGGGAGGCAGCAGUAGGGAAUCUUCCGCAAUGGGCGAAAGCCUGACGGAGCAACGCCGCGUGAGUGAUGAAGGUCUUCGGAUCGUAAAACUCUGUUAUUAGGGAAGAACAAAUGUGUAAGUAACUAUGCACGUCUUGACGGUACCUAAUCAGAAAGCCACGACUAACUACGUG